rnacentral:lncRNA from 1 species
AGUAAACAGUGCUGCCCUAAUCUGUCUAAAGCCAUGAGGUCGAAGAGGGCGGUGUGUGUGGGGUGAGUCUGAAGCCACAGGCGGAGGAGGAGGAGGAGGAGGAGGAGGAGGAGGAGGAGAAGAAGAAGAAGAAGAAGAAGAAGAAGAAGAGAGAAGAGAAGAGAAGAGAAAGAAGAAAGAAGAAAGGGAAGAAAGAAGAAAGAGAAGAGGAAGAGGAGGAAGAGGAAGAGGAGGAAGAGGAAGAGGAAGGGGAAAAGGGGAAGAAGAAUCGCUAAGUAGCAGCUUUAUACUCAGGCUUCUUGUUUACAUAAUGGGGAGGCCAAUGGGCUUUCUCCCACCAUAUCUUGCCAAUGUGAUUCAGGAUAUGAAGGGAGAGGGAAUUUUACUGGAGGAAAUAUCCCUAGGCUACAAGUUGGGGGACAUCAGGAAUUAUCUACAGUGGAAACCAUGA